rnacentral:rRNA from 2 species
UACGGAGGGUGCAAGCGUUGUCCGGAUUUAUUGGGUUUAAAGGGUGCGUAGGCGGCCGAUUAAGUCAGCGGUGAAAGUUUUGGGCUCAACCCAGAAAUUGCCAUUGAUACUGGUCGGCUUGAGUAUUGCAGGGGUACAUGGAAUUGAUGGUGUAGCGGUGAAAUGCAUAGAUACCAUCAGGAACACCGAUAGCGAAGGCAUUGUACUGGGCAACCACUGACGCUGAUGCACGAAAGCAUGGGGAGCGAACAGG